rnacentral:rRNA from 1 species
AUUGAACGCUGGCGGCAGGCCUAACACAUGCAAGUCGAGCGGAUGAAGGGAGCUUGCUCCUGGAUUCAGCGGCGGACGGGUGAGUAAUGCCUAGGAAUCUGCCUGGUAGUGGGGGAUAACGUCCGGAAACGGGCGCUAAUACCGCAUACGUCCUGAGGGAGAAAGUGGGGGAUCUUCGGACCUCACGCUAUCAGAUGAGCCUAGGUCGGAUUAGCUAGUUGGUGGGGUAAAGGCCUACCAAGGCGACGAUCCGUAACUGGUCUGAGAGGAUGAUCAGUCACACGGGAAAUGGGAAAGGGCCCAGACCCCUAGGGGGGGGAGCAGGGGGGAAUUUUGGAAAAUGGGGGAAACCCUGACCCAGCAAGGCCGGGGGGGUGAAGAAGGUCUUCGGAUGGUAAAGCCUUUUAAGUUGGGAGGAAGGGAAGAAAGUUAAUACCUGGCUUUUUUGACGUUACCAAAAAAAUAAGCACCGGAUAACUUCGU